rnacentral:rRNA from 1 species
AGAGUUUGAUCCUGGCUCAGAACGUACGCUGGCGGCACGCCUAACACAUGCAAGUCGAACGAAGUAGCAAUACUUAGUGGCAGACGGGUGAGUAACAUGUGGGUAUCUACCCUUUGGCCUGGAAUAACACGAGGAAACUUGUGCUAAUACCGGAUAAGUCUUUACAGAGAAAGCUUUAUGCACCAUUGGAUGAGCCCGCACUUGAUUAGUUUGUUGGUAGGGUAAUGGCCUACCAAGACUAUGAUCAAUAGCUGAUUUGAGAGGAUGAUCAGCCACAUUGGGACUGAGACACGGCCCAAACUCCUACGGGAGGCAGCAGUGGGGAAUCUUGCACAAUGGAGGAAACUCUGAUGCAGCGAUGCCGCGUGAGUGAAGAAGGCCUUUGGGUUGUAAAGCUCUUUCGUCGGGGAAGAAAAUGACUGUACCCGAAUAAGAAGGUCCGGCUAACUUCGUGCCAGCAGCCGCGGUAAUACGAAGGGACCUAGCGUAGUUCGGAAUUACUGGGCUUAAAGAGUUCGUAGGUGGUUGAAAAAGUUGGUGGUGAAAUCCCAGAGCUUAACUCUGGAACUGCCAUCAAAACUUUUCAGCUAGAGUAUGAUAGAGGAAAGCAGAAUUUCUAGUGUAGAGGUGAAAUUCGUAGAUAUUAGAAAGAAUACCAAUUGCGAAGGCAGCUUUCUGGAUCAUUACUGACACUGAGGAACGAAAGCAUGGGUAGCGAAGAGGAUUAGGUACCCUCGUAGUCCAUGCCGUAAACGAUGUGUGUUAGACGUUGGAAAUUUAUUUUCAGUGU